rnacentral:lncRNA from 1 species
UCCUUCAUUCUCCUCAUAUUAAAGAAAGAAAACCCUAGCUACCCUCCACAGUCGCCGAACGGAGUGAGUGAGCCAUUGCCACCGUCCGUGGUUGUCCGAGGCUUCUCUCUUCUUCCUCGCUCGGCGUCCAUCAUCCAUCGUCUUCGUCCUGCGCGCCGUCGUCUCGUCGCCGUUUCGUUUAUAACAAAAAAAAAAAAAAACAAAGCUUCGGUAGCGCUGAGAGCCCCUUGCCCCCUUCUCUCCUUCUUCACUCUCCAGAACUCAACUCAACGUCAAGGCCUC